UACGUAGGGACCAAGCGUUGUUCGGAUUCAUUGGGCGUAAAGGGUGCGUAGGCGGCGCGGUAAGUCGGGUGUGAAAUCUUGGAGCUUAACUCCGAAACUGCAUUCGAUACUGCGGUGCUUGAGGACUGGAGAGGAGACUGGAAUUUACGGUGUAGCAGUGAAAUGCGUAGAGAUCGUAAGGAAGACCAGUGGCGAAGGCGGGUCUCUGGACAGUUCCUGACACUGAGGCACGAAGGCCAGGGGAGCAAACGGG
rnacentral:rRNA from 1 species